rfam:Paraoerskovia marina strain DSM 22126 genome assembly, chromosome: I
CCGGCUUCCGGUUCACGGCUGCGGCAUUCGCAGGCGACCCGGGGCA